CAAUAGCGUAUAUUAAAGCUGUUGCGGUUAAAAAGCUCGUAGUUGGAUUUCUGUCAAGUACAACUGGUCCGCCCUCCGGGUGAGCACAUAGUUUGGUCUUGGCAUCUUGCUGGAAAUUGUUGCUGCACUUGGCUGUGUGGCGCAGUGUCCAGCACUUUCACUUUGAGGAAAUUGGGGUGUUUCAAGCAGGCAAUGCCUUUGAACACAGUAGCAUGGAAUAAUUAGAUUGGGCUUUUGCUCCAAUUUGUCGGUUUCUGGAGCUGAGGUGAGAAUUAAUGGGGAUUGUUGGGGGCAUCCGAAUUUAGCCGUCAGAGGUGAAAUUCUUGGAUCGGCUAAAGACGGACAACUGCGAAAGCGUUUGCCCAGGAUGUUUUCAUUGA
rnacentral:rRNA from 1 species